GUCCACGCCGUAAACGAUGAGCACUAGGUGUCGGGUCGCAAGACUUCGGUGCCGCAGUUAACGCAUUAAGUGCUCCGCCUGGGAGUACGUUCGCAAGAAUGAAACUCAAAGGAAUUGACGGGGACCCGCACAAGCAGCGGAGCAUGUGGUUUAAUUCGAAGCAACGCGAAGAACCUUACCAGGGCUUGACAUCCCUCUGACAGAUCCUUAAACGGAUUCUUCUUCGGACAGAGGAGACAGGUGGUGCAUGGUUGUCGU
rnacentral:rRNA from 1 species